UACGAAGGGUGCAAGCGUUGUUCGGAAUUAUUGGGCGUAAAGCGCACGUAGGCGCCUUGUAAGUCUCACUGUGAAAGUCCGGGGCUCAACCCCGGGAUGCCAGGGGAUACUGCGAGGCUUGAGGACUGGAGAGGAGACUGGAAUUUAUGGUGUAGCAGUGAAAUGCGUAGAGAUCAUAAGGAAGACCAGUGGCGAAGGCGGGUCUCUGGACAGUUCCUGACACUGAGGCACGAAGGCCAGGGGAGCAAACGGG
rnacentral:rRNA from 1 species